rnacentral:rRNA from 1 species
GCAGCUUAUACAUGCAGUCGAACGGUAACAUGGAAGUUAGCAAUUACUUUUGAUGACGAGUGGCGCACGGGUGCGUAACGCGUAUGCAAUCUACCCAUAAUUAGGACAAAACGUUGAGAAAUUGGCGCUAAUAUCCUAUGUGUAUAUUUAGGGGCAUCUUUGAAUAUAUAAAGAUUUAUUGAUUAUGGAUGGGCAUGCGUAUCAUUAGAUAGUUGGUAGGGUAACGGCUUACCAAGUCGAUGAUGAUUAGGGGUUCUGAGAGGAUAACCCCCCACACUGGAACUGAGACACGGUCCAGACUCCUACGGGAGGCAGCAGUAGGGAAUAUUGGGCAAUGGAGGCAACUCUGACCCAGCCAUGCCGCGUGAACGAAGAAGGCCUUGCAGGUUGUAAAGUUCUUUUAUUAUAGAGUAAACUCAGGGACGUGUUCCUGAUUGAGAGUAUAUGAUGAAUAAGCAUCGGCUAACUCCGUGCCAGCAGCCGCGGUAAUACGGAGGAUGCAAGCGUUAUCCGGAAUUAUUGGGUUUAAAGGGUGCGCAGGCGGACUGAUAAGUUAUUGGUGAAAAGUUACGGCUUAACUGUAACCGUGCCGAUAAUACUGUCAGACUAGAGUGUAAAAGACGUAACUGGAAUGUGAUGUGUAGCGGUGAAAUGCUUAGAGAUGUCACAGAACGCCGAUCGUGAAGACAGGUUACGAGGAUACAACUGACGCUCAUGCACGAAAGCGUGGGGAUCAAACAGGAUUAGAUACCCUGGUAGUCCACGCUGUAAACGAUGAACACUCGUUGCUGGGUAUUUAUAUUCAGUGGCUAAGCGAAAGCGAUAAGUGUUCCACCUGGGGAGUACGAUCGCAAGGUUGAAACUCAAGGAAUUGACGGGGGCCCGCACAAGCGGAGGAGCAUGUGGUUUAAU